GAUGAACGCUGGCGGCGUGCCUAAUACAUGCAAGUCGAGCGAACAGACGAGGAGCUUGCUCCUCUGACGUUAGCGGCGGACGGGUGAGUAACACGUGGAUAACCUACCUAUAAGACUGGGAUAACUUCGGGAAACCGGAGCUAAUACCGGAUAAUAUAUUGAACCGCUUGGUUCAAUAGUGAAAGACGGUUUUGCUGUCACUUAUAGAUGGAUCCGCGCCGCAUUAGCUAGUUGGUAAGGUAACGGCUUACCAAGGCAACGAUGCGUAGCCGACCUGAGAGGGUGAUCGGCCACACUGGAACUGAGACACGGUCCAGACUCCUACGGGAGGCAGCAGUAGGGAAUCUUCCGCAAUGGGCGAAAGCUUGACGGAGCAACGCCGCGUAGUGAUGAAGGUCUUCGGAUCGUAAAACUCUGUUAUUAGGGAAGAACAAAUGUGUAAGUAACUAUGCACGUCUUGACGGUACCUAAUCAGAAAGCCACGGCUAACUACGUG
rnacentral:rRNA from 1 species